rnacentral:rRNA from 1 species
GACGAACCACACAAACGUUAUUCGGAAUUACUGGGCUUAAAGGGUGCGUAGGCUGCGCAGAAAGUUGGGUGUGAAAUCCCUCGGCUCAACCGAGGAACUGCGCCCAAUACUACUGUGCUCGAGGGAGACAGAGGUGAGCGGAACUUAGGGUGGAGCGGUGAGAUGCGUUGAUAUCCUAAGGAACACCCGUGGCGAAAGCGGCUCACUGGGUCUCUUCUGACGCUGAGGCACGAAAGCUAGGGUAGCGAACGGG